GCCAUGUAUUCCAGACUUUACA
rnacentral:siRNA from 1 species